GACGAACGCUGGCGGCGUGCUUAACACAUGCAAGUCGAACGCGCCUGUCCUCUGGGUUUCUGGGGGGUGGGUGAGUGGCGAACGGGUGAGUAACACGUGAGUAACCUGCCCCCUUCUUCGGGAUAACGGUCUGAAAGGGCUGCUAAUACCGGGUAUUCACUGGUCUCCGCAUGGGGUCUGGUGGAAAGGUUUUUUUCUGGUGGGGGAUGGGCUCGCGGCCUAUCAGCUUGUUGGUGGGGUGAUGGCCCACCAAGGCUUUGACGGGUAGCCGGCCUGAGAGGGUGACCGGUCACAUUGGGACUGAGAUACGGCCCAGACUCCUACGGGAGGCAGCAGUGGGGAAUAUUGCACAAUGGGCGCAAGCCUGAUGCAGCGACGCCGCGUGAGGGAUGGAGGCCCUCGGGUUGUGAACCUCUUUCGCCCGUGGUCAAGCCGCGACGUGGGUCGUGGGGAGGGUAGUGGGUAAAGAAACGCCGGCUAACUACGU
rnacentral:rRNA from 1 species